UACGGGGGGGGCAAGCGUUGUUCGGAAUUACUGGGCGUAAAGGGCUCGUAGGCGGCCAACUAAGUCAGACGUGAAAUCCCUCGGCUUAACCGGGGAACUGCAUCUGAUACUGGAUGGCUUGAGUUCGGGAGAGGGAUGCGGAAUUCCAGGUGUAGCGGUGAAAUGCGUAGAUAUCAGUCGGAACACCGGUGGCGAAGGCGGCUUCUUGGGCCCUACCUGACGCUGAGGCGCGAAAGCCAGGGGAGCGAACGGG
rnacentral:rRNA from 1 species